rnacentral:tRNA from 1 species
GGCUGGUUAGCUCAGCUGGUUGAGCAUGGUGCUGAUAACACCAAGGUCGCGGGUUCGAUCCCCGCUCGACCCC